rnacentral:rRNA from 1 species
GUGAACGCUGGCGGUAGGCCUAACACAUGCAAGUCGCACGGCAGCACAGUAAGAGCUUGCUCUUACGGGUGGCGAGUGGCGGACGGGUGAGGAAUACAUCGGAAUCUACUUUUUCGUGGGGGAUAACGUAGGGAAACUUACGCUAAUACCGCAUACGACCUACGGGUGAAAGCAGGGGAUCUUCGGACCUUGCGCGAUUGAAUGAGCCGAUGUCGGAUUAGCUAGUUGGCGGGGUAAAGGCCCACCAAGGCGACGAUCCGUAGCUGGUCUGAGAGGAUGAUCAGCCACACUGGAACUGAGACACGGUCCAGACUCCUACGGGAGGCAGCAGUGGGGAAUAUUGGACAAUGGGCGCAAGCCUGAUCCAGCCAUACCGCGUGGGUGAAGAAGGCCUUCGGGUUGCAAAGCCCUUUUGUUGGGAAAGAAAAGCAGCAGGUUAAUACCCCGCUGUUCUGACGGUACCCAAAGAAUAAGCACCGGCUAACUUCGUG